CUAACGCAUUAAGUGCCCCGCCUGGGGAGUACGAUCGCAAGAUUAAUACUCAAAGGAAUUGACGGGGCCCCGCACAAGCAGCGGAGCAUGCGGCUUAAUUCGACGCAACGCGAAGAACCUUACCAAGGCUUGACAUAUAGAGAAAAGUGGCAGAGAUGUCAUGUCCGCAAGGGCUCUAUACAGGUGGUGCAUGGUUGUCGUCAGCUCGUGUCGUGAGAUGUUGGGUUAAGUCCCGCAACGAGCGCAACCCCUAUGUUUAGUUGCCAGCAUGUAAUGGUGGGGACUCUAAACAGACUGCCUGUGCAAACAGAGAGGAAGGAGGGGACGACGUCAAGUCAUCAUGGCCCUUACGUCCGGGGCUACACACGUGCUACAAUGGGCAGUACAGAGGGCAGCUACCUGGUAACAGGAUGCCAAUCUCAAAAAGCUGUUCACAGUUCGGAUAGAGGUCUGCAACUCGACCUCUUGAAGUUGGAUUCGCNUAGUAAUCGCAUAUCAGCAAUGAUGCGGUGAAUACGUUCCCGGG
rnacentral:rRNA from 1 species